GCCCUCGUAGCUCAAUGGAAGAGCGGUGGCCUUCGAAGCCAACGGCUGCAAGUUCGAGUCUUGCCGAGGGUG
rnacentral:tRNA from 1 species